UUAAGGACAGUUUAUCUUCAUGCAGUAAGCCCAUACGUGCUGCUAGCGUCAUCGCAGAACCAAAAAACACUGGAACAAGCUUGAUUUGUCCGAAAAGAAUAGAAAUCGAUUUCAUUGUAGGCCUAAUCAAACUUGUGUAUGACCACAAACAAUAAUCCAGCACUAUGGCACUAACAUCAAAAAAAAUGGCAGUUUAAUAUCAAGUUCUCAAUAUAAUUAACAUAAUCUUACCAAGUUUUCACAAAGUCAAUUAUUUUUAAAUACAUGUAGGCUAUAUCGAAGCAAAAUUGAAGAUAAUAAAAAUAUUUGGUCGGCUUUUACAUUACUGUGCCAAAAUGUCUGUGUUGUACACCUGAACAUAUUCCAACUGCCUUCUUCACUCCUCUCCAGAUUUAGAGCACUCAAAUGUUUGCAUUCAAAUAAGUAUUUUUGAUAUAACACUGAGCAUCUGGUUAUUGUUAAGUUUAAAAUUAUUAAUGUUAUUAUAUUAAAGAUUUCCGUAGAAUGUGUCAGAAAUAUACGGUCAAAUAUCAAAUCCUCCAUGUUGAAAUACAUAGCGUCUGAGAAAUAGUUGGCUAGCAAAGCGCCAUUAAUUAAACAAAAAAACUCCAGAACGUUAAUAUUUUUUUUCUCCGAAGUGAACAGUAAAAUUGAAUUUAUUGGACUAAACCAAACAUUUGUAGGACAUCACGAUCUGGCUUGUUGUUUUUGCUCCCUCAAGCUGUACGCUAAAAGCUCCGUGGAAUGUAAGGAGCGGAAUGUGCUUUGGUUUAGGUCAGUCCACUUGUAAAGGCAUGUGGAUUACACUAAUUAUUCAUGGGCACGCUUGGAGGUGUGGUCGAUAAUAUCUCCCUGCUCUAUUGUUGCACAGAGUGUUCGGCUAGGAGCACUUCAACCAGCCUGGUGGCGUAGUAGCUUUAGACGUGCACGGACACACACAGGCCUUCUUGCUCUUAGUAAAUACCCUGUCUGGUUGAACACGAAUGUUGAAAUUGUUCUUAUUGUAGGCUGAAAUCCCUCGCCAGCGAUGUCACAUGGUAACCACUUGGUGUUUGGGGCUGACCCAAGACAUCGUUUUUGGAAAAAAAUGAAAUUGUUUGGUUGCUCUAUAAUGAAUGGACAAGCACCAACAUUGAUAAGAAUAGGUGCAAGACAUUGCGACUCCUGUAUAUAUAUAUAUAUAUAUAUAUAUAUUUGUAUAUAAAAUAACUCUUUGGCAAAGAUAUUCGCAAUUAUAUUUGACUUUUUCUCAAAACAUUGAAAGCAAUAAUCAAAAAAGAUGGUCCAGUAACACAUUUUCAUAGCAAAAAAAAAAAAAGGUAGAUGAAUCAAACAUUCAUAUCUCCCGAAAAAUAAUAAUCAAUCGAAAAAGGCAAACAAAAUGCAGCAAUCAAACUUGUUUCCUAAACGAAAGGAUAACAAAAUAUAUCUUUACCUCAUGUAAAGAGGACAAAUUACAUAAUGCAGUUCACAACAAAAAUAUUUAUAAUCCUAUAUUUAGUACCAAAAAGUAGUGUUCAUCCUUAGGUUCAAAAAGGAUGAACACUUGUCCGUGUUUAAAUGUUGAUAUAAACUUUGCUACAAUGCUGAAGUGAACGGGUCCUGGUUUGGCUACAGCUCUCUGAAAGUAUAAAUUAAAUCGAUCUUAAAAGGUCCCAUGACAUGCCACCAGGAGUGAGUGUGAUUAGCCGUUACAAGCGUUUUGAAAAUCUCCCCCUUAUGACAUCACAAGUGGGCGUGUCCACCUAGAUGUGUGCUGGAUAGAUCAGUCUACCAGCCUACCCAGUGGACUGUAGCAAACGUUGCUCAUCUAUCCGUCACACAUCUAGGUGGACACGCCCACUUAAGAUGUCAUAAGGGGCAGAUUUUCAAAACGGCUUGUAACGGCUAAUCACACUCAAACCUGGUGGCAUUUCAUGGGACCUUUAAAUGCAUGAACAGGGCCAGCCCGAUGUGGUAAAGCUGUCGUAAAUGGAUGUCUGACAUGUACAAAGUCCUCAAUACUGAUGUACUUCACCGUCCCAUGAGGAGUGGACGAGUGAGGUUGAGUGACUAACUGAAUACGAUAUUAUUUUGUUUUAAUUUCUUGAGCCUUCGAAUACACAUCAGCCGUUAAAUCCCCUUACCAUUUGGACAGUCUGACAUUUUGGUUUCCGUCUAAUCAUUCAUAAUUCAGAGAAUAAGGCAGGCGGCGAUGGGAAAAGAAGACUAAAUGACAGAAAGGGGUGAAAGGGGAGGAGGCUCGACUAAAAGUAAAAAGCGUUGCAGAGCAAAAAGCCACGCUAAAAAACAGAAAAACUCAAAUCCCUGGGACGACAUCCAAAGCUCUGACCCACUCCGACCUCCCCUCAAAAGGACUGCUGUAUCUCUUUGUGAAUCGGUGACAACAUUCUGUUAGACAAGGUGAUGUCACCGACGGUUGGCCAAUCUGAAAAAACGGUUGCGUUUGG